AUCCUGAGCAGAGUUGAAAAGGACUUAGAGAAGAAGAGAUUGGCGUAGCAUGGAAGUGACAAUAUGAGUUGUUUGUCAUCCCAGUAGAAUCCACAUAGUGCUACACCUGGUCAUUAUUGCCUAUUUCAAUUAACCAUGGGCCCAUCAAUAGCAGCCAUUGAAUUAACUUUCCUUCCUUUGAGGUUGAAAAGAUUUUUGCAGAAUUAUUCAAUCAGUUCCCAAAUUAGCCGAUGAGGAGCAGUUUAAUGACAUGCCAGUUCUUUUGUGGCAAGGAUAAUGUGUUUUGUCCUCUUCAAUAACGUCAUGUAUCUAUCACUGUAAAGGGAAGAGGCAGUGCAAUUUCUUGGGAGGAAAUUCUGAAUUAACUCGGGCUACUUAACUGCUUAUGGUGAUAGUUCUUACCCCAAAAAAAAGAAAAGAAAAGAAGAGAAAAGAAAAGAAAAGAAAAGCUGGUAUCCUAAAAGUUGGGCAAAAGGAUCAAACUGUACUUUCAAAGGAGCUCCAUUUCUGCACCUAACAUUUGCUACAUAUGUUCCCAAUAAAAUUGUAACAAUGUGAGCAUAUCUCAAAAGGAUUCAUAACAUUCUGUCACUUCAAUUUAAUGUUCUUACCAAUAAAAAAGAGAAGAGACUAUUUUGUCAUCAUUAAUAUGGCAGAUAGAAUUGUAAUUAUAUGCAAAUGAUCAAAUAUAUUUAAUUGCACAAUAGCUUAACUGCAACAUGAGAGGGACCAGAUGAUGGAAUAUUCUAUUUCUACAAAUGAAAGUACAUUUGGGAAUGCAAAUCUUUUGAAUAUAACCUAGAUGAAUGAUCUCCAUUUCAAGUAUUAAGACUGCAACGAAAAUACAGUCCUUCAUCUCAUUAGAGAUAUGGUUCUUGGAUAUAAUCAACUUCAAUCCUUUUAUAGAGGAAGAAAACAAAGAACUAAAGAGGAUAUCAAUUGCCCAAAGGUAUAAAAUAUAUACAGAAGAAGAAAUAUAUGAUAAUUUGAAGAUUGAGAAGACAAUUUUAACUAGGAAAAUACAGACAAGUCUCUCACUGAAAAUGAAAUUUAAGUUAAGCCUUGGGGAUAUCUAA
ensembl:lncRNA